GGGACACUUCUCGUCCCCAUCUUCCCGAGAGUCCAGGCACAUGCCCAGAAGAGGAAAGUUUUGGGAACCCCUGACCACACUCACUGCCUGUUCCUGCAGGUGGUGGGCAGCAUGGACGCCCACCCCAAUCGCUACUGCGCCACCGUGCGCGUGCAGCAGCACCGGCAGGAGAUCAUACAAGACCUGGCCGCCAUGGUCCGCGAGCUCCUCAUCCAGUUCUAUAAGUCCACGCGCUUCAAGCCUACCCGCAUCAUCUUCUACCGCGACGGCGUCUCUGAAGGCCAGUUCCAGCAGGUUCUCCACCACGAGUUGCUGGCCAUCCGUGAGGCCUGUAUCAAGCUGGAAAAAGACUACCAGCCCGGGAUCACCUUCAUCGUGGUGCAGAAGAGGCACCACACCCGGCUCUUCUGCACUGACAAGAACGAGCGGGUUGGGAAAAGUGGAAACAUUCCAGCAGGCACGACUGUGGACACGAAAAUCACCCACCCCACCGAGUUCGACUUCUACCUGUGUAGUCACGCUGGCAUCCAGGGGACAAGCAGGCCUUCGCACUAUCAUGUCCUCUGGGACGACAAUCGUUUCUCCUCUGAUGAGCUGCAGAUCCUAACCUACCA
rnacentral:sRNA from 1 species